CAUUUCUAGCUUGCUAGGAGAUGACGAGCGGCGGACGGGUGAGUAAUACUUGGGGAUCUGCCUGAUGGCGGGGGACAACCACUGGAAACGGUGGCUAAUACCGCAUAAUGCCUACGGGCCAAAGUGUGGGACCUUCGGGCCACAUGCCAUCAGAUGAACCCAAGCGAGAUUAGCUAGUUGGUGAGGUAAUGGCUCACCAAGGCGACGAUCUCUAGCUGUUCUGAGAGGAUGAUCAGCCACACUGGGACUGAGACACGGCCCAGACUCCUACGGGAGGCAGCAGUGGGGAAUAUUGGACAAUGGGCGCAAGCCUGAUCCAGCCAUGCCGCGUGUGUGAAGAAGGCCUUCGGGUUGUAAAGCACUUUCAGUGGUGAGGAAGGCCUUGUAGUUAAUAGCUGCAAGGAUUGACGUUAGCCACAGAAGAAGCACCGGCUAACUCCGUGCCAGCAGCCGCGGUAAUACGGAGGGUGCGAGCGUUAAUCGGAAUUACUGGGCGUAAAGCGCACGUAGGCGGUUUGUUAAGCAAGAUGUGAAAGCCCAGGGCUCAACCUUGGAAUAGCAUUUUGAACUGGCAAGCUAGAGUUUUGAAGAGGGUGGUAGAAUUUCCAGUGUAGCGGUGAAAUGCGUAGAUAUUGGAAGGAAUACCAGUGGCGAAGGCGGCCACCUGGUCAAAAACUGACGCUGAGGAGCGAAAGCGUGGGGAGCAAACAGGAUUAGAUACCCUGGUAGUCCACGCCGUAAACGAUGUCAACUAGUUGUUCGUGUCUUUAAGACGUGAGUAACGCAGCUAACGCACUAAGUUGACCGCCUGGGGAGUACGGCCGCAAGGUUAAAACUCAAAUGAAUUGACGGGGGCCCGCACAAGCGGUGGAGCAUGUGGUUUAAUUCGAUGCAACGCGAAGAACCUUACCAUCCCUUGACAUCCA
rnacentral:rRNA from 1 species